AUUCUGCCCAUGCGGGGAAGGACGAGAAGCUUCGACCAAGGUUCGACUCGAGCGUCAGCGAGAGAGCGUUGCCGCAGGCAACGACCCGUAGGGCGAAGCGCGCAGCGCUGAGUAAUCCUUCCCCCACCACCA
rnacentral:sRNA from 7 species